rnacentral:ribozyme from 13 species
GAGAAGAAGAAGAAGAAGAAGAAGAGAAAAAAGAAGAGGGAGAUUGAGAGAAAAACAUCUCAUCUUCAUAAGAAAGGAUAUUUUGUUUGACAUAUUUUGUUGCAUCUUGAAUUAGAAUGUCUAAUUUUUUAUCCAUUGCAAUUAUUUCUUCUGAUUCAGACGCAGGACUAGCCUCAAAAAAAAAAGGAGUAGGAGGAACAGAAGCAGUCAAAAGAGAA